CCCGCACAAGCGGAGGAGCAUGUGGUUAAUUCGAUGAUACGCGAGGAACCUUACCUGGGCUCGAACGUAAGAUGACUGUAGGUGAAAGCUUACAUCUCUUCGGAGCAUUUUACGAGGUGCUGCAUGGUUGUCGUCAGCUCGUGCCGUGAGGUGUCGGGUUAAGUCCCAUAACGAGCGCAACCCUACCUUUAGUUGCCAUCAGGUUAAGCUGGGGACUCUAAAGGAACUGCCUACGCAAGUAGUGAGGAAGGCGGGGAUGACGUCAAAUCAGCACGGCCCUUACGUCCAGGGCUACACACGUGCUACAAUGGCCGAUACAGAGGGCAGCUACCUGGUGACAGGAUGCAAAUCUCCAAAGUCGGUCUCAGUUCGGAUCGGAGUCUGCAACCCGACUCCGUGAAGUUGGAUUCGCUAGUAAUCGCGCAUCAGCCAUGGCGCGGUGAAUAUGUUCCCGGGCCUU
rnacentral:rRNA from 1 species